rnacentral:rRNA from 1 species
GACGAACGCUGGCGGCGUGCUUAACACAUGCAAGUCGAACGGAAAGGCCCUGCUUUUGUGGGGUGCUCGAGUGGCGAACGGGUGAGUAACACGUGAGUAACCUGCCCUUGACGUUGGGAUAACUUCAGGAAACUGGGGCUAAUACCGGAUAGGAGCUCCUGCUGCAUGGUGGGGGUUGGAAAGUUUCGGCGGGUGGGGAUGGACUCGCGGCUUAUCAGCUUGUUGGGGGGGUAGUGGCUUACCAAGGCUUUGACGGGUAGCCGGCCUGAGAGGGUGACCGGCCACAUUGGGACUGAGAUACGGCCCAGACUCCUACGGGAGGCAGCAGUGGGGAAUAUUGCACAAUGGGCGGAAGCCUGAUGCAGCAACGCCGCGUGCGGGAUGACGGCCUUCGGGUUGUAAACCGCUUUCGCCUGUGACGAAGCGUGAGUGACGGUAAUGGGUAAAGAAGCACCGGCUAACUACGUG